CGGGUGUCCCUGCUAACCCUUAUCAUUGCAGGACUCGGCAGUGCUGUAGGUCAUUUGACCGUAGACGUGGAUCGUCAAGGGUGCUGUGCGGGGAAUGCGGGUAAGAUCACCG
rfam:Paenibacillus sp. JCM 10914 DNA, contig: contig_41.